rnacentral:rRNA from 1 species
AGUGAACGCUGGCGGCAGGCCUAACACAUGCAAGUCGAGCGGCAGCGGGUUCCCGCGAGGGGAUGCCGGCGAGCGGCGGACGGGUGAGGAACACAUCGGAAUCUGCCUGGGUUGUGGGGGAUAACGUAGGGAAACUUACGCUAAUACCGCAUGCGACCCUGAGUCGACGGACUGGGGGUGAAAGUGAGGGACCUUCGGGCCUCACGCGACCAGUUUAGAGCCGAUGUCGGAUUAGCUAGUUGGCGGGGUAACGGCCCGCCAAGGCGACGAUCCGUAGCUGGUCUGAGAGGAUGAUCAGCCACACUGGGACUGAGACAACGGCCCAGACUCCUACGGGAAGGCAGCAGUGGGAAUCUUGGACAAUGGGCGCAAGCCUGAUCCAGCCAUGCGCGU